ACUAAAGCUAGGGAAUGUUAGCA
rnacentral:piRNA from 1 species